UGGGGAAUAUUGCACAAUUGGCUCAAGCCUGAUGCAGCCAUGCCGCGUGUAUGAAGAAGGCCUUCGGGUUGUAAAGUACUUUCAGCGGGGAGGAAGGGAGUAAAGUUAAUACCUUUGCUCAUUGACGUUACCCGCAGAAGAAGCACCGGCUAACUCCGUGCCAGCAGCCGCGGUAAUACGGAGGGUGCAAGCGUUAAUCGGAAUUACUGGGCGUAAAGCGCACGCAGGCGGUUUGUUAAGUCAGAUGUGAAAUCCCCGGGCUCAACCUGGGAACUGCAUCUGAUACUGGCAAGCUUGAGUCUCGUAGAGGGGGGUAGAACUCCAGGUGUAGCGGUGAAAUGCGUAGAGAUCUGGAGGAAUACCGGUGGCGAAGGCGGCCCCCUGGACGAAGACUGACGCUCAGGUGCGAAAGCGUGGGGAGCAAACAGG
rnacentral:rRNA from 1 species